rnacentral:rRNA from 1 species
UGGGGAAUAUUGGACAAUGGGGGCAACCCUGAUCCAGCCAUGCCGCGUGAGUGAUGAAGGCCUUCGGGUUGUAAAGCUCUUUUGGCGGGGACGAUGAUGACGGUACCCGCAGAAUAAGCCCCGGCUAACUUCGUGCCAGCAGCCGCGGUAAGACGAAGGGGGCUAGCGUUGUUCGGAAUUACUGGGCGUAAAGCGCGUGUAGGCGGUUUUCCAAGUUGGGUGUGAAAGCCUUGGGCUUAACCCAAGAAAUGCACUCAGUACUGGAAGACUAGAGGACCGGAGAGGAUAGUGGAAUUCCCAGUGUAGUGGUGAAAUACGUAGGGAUUGGGAAGAACACCAGUGGCGAAGGCGGCUAUCUGGACGGUUUCUGACGCUAAGACGCGAAAGCGUGGGGAGCAAACAGGAUUAGAUACCCUGGUAGUCCACGCCGUAAACGAUGGGUGCUAGACGUUGGCGAGCUUGCUCGUCAGUGUCGCAGCUAACGCGUUAAGCACCCCGCCU